rnacentral:lncRNA from 1 species
AUCAAUAACUCUUUGCCUAGUGAAAAGUCCCUGAGGCUUGGCAGAGAAGGAGACCUCCGUGAAGAUGCAUCAUGGUGGACUGUGGUCUCUUCUCUGUGGAAUCCUCGGGAGAGUCCCAUGAUCCUAGGAGAGGGUGAGAGGGCAGAUGUAAGCCAGCAUUAAGAAGCCUCAAGCAGAGCCGCAGGAAUAAUCCGUGAAUUCCCUAACAAUCCUAAAGGAUCUGCAGGAUGCUUCAGGCCUGCCUAGAUGUUGUAGGGAUCAUGAAUCCGCUGUAAAUUGAGAGGCUGGCUGAGACCUGCCAGGUCCAAAUAACCUCCCCCUGAGGAAAAAAAAAAGCCACUCUUCUAGAAAGAAGAGGAGCACAUCAAACCCAGGAACAGAAAUAUUUCACUGCUUUAUUCUCCAGUGUACAUCCCAUGGAGAAACACUAGCAGUCCAGUCCUCAGGGCCCCUUGAAUUUACUUCAUAUUCAGUUCCUAGCUGAGCAGGACCUUCACGUCACUCCUUCAUUGUCUUGGAAUUUCAUUUUGGGACAGAUACUUUGAGCAGCCAUAACAUCAGAUAAAGGAUUGUCCCAUGAGCCUAGGAGAGGGCAGAUGUAAGCCAGCCUGUAGUAGCAUCAAGAAGAGGCCCAGGAAUAAACCACAAUAUUUCUCAGGAUCCAGAAACAUCUGCAACAUUUUUCAGAUGUGUCUAGACAUUGUAGAGAAAGAAGAGGAACACACCACAGCAAAAAUAAGACAUCUUCCAGUGUUUUGUUGUCCUGUGGUGAACCCAGGGAGAAAAUAUAGCAGUACUGUCUGCAAAGCCGCUUGACUUUACCUCGUAUAUGGGUCACAGCUGAGCACGUGUUUCAUGUCGUGAGUGGGCACUCCAACAUCGCCUUGAGAUUUCAUCCUGGAACAUAGAGGGUGAGCAGCAAUAAGUUCAGCCUAGGGUUUUCUGGGUCUGAAUCCACGUCUUCCAAACUAAAACUUUCUGAGUUCACAGAGGAAGACCCUCAUGGAAAUCCACUGCGGAAUCCACAGUGCCCCUCAACUGCACUACUGUUCACCAGUUUCAGGCUUGCCAUCACCACAGAGGGCAUCUGAGAUAUUGUCUGAACCUCAUCUGCACCCAUGAGAGACCAGAUCGAGGCAGACUGAUAGCUCUGACAGCUAGGUGCCUGUACCUGCCUCAGGAAUGCAUAUGCACUAGUCUCAGGACACCAGUCCUCAUUGUGAGCUCUGGCUAGCAUCACAAUGAAUGUCAUCAUUGCCUAGAGACAAGUUCCUGCCUCUUGAGGAAGGAGACCUCCCUGUAGGUAUGUCGGCUGUGGACUCUUGCCUGUCUUCUCUGUGGGAUCCAAGAGAUAGUCCCAUGAUCCUACGAGAGAGUAGAUGUGAGCCAGCCAAAAGAAACAUCAAACAGAGGCCCAGGAAUAAAUUGCAAAAUCCCUAAGGAUCCAAAAGAUCUGCAGGAUUCCUCAGGCCUGCCUAGAUGUUGUAGGGGUUCUACAUGUCAUGAAGGGCAACUCCUCCAUCAUUUCAGGAUUUUUUUUCUGGAACAGAGAGUGUGAACAGCAAUAAGGACAGAUACAGGCUGGCUGACAGUUCUGACAGCCCGUCGCCCAAGUCUGCAUACUCUUAGGCACAAGGACUGAGCUAUGGGCUCGGGUUAGCAUCACAACGAAGGCCACCAUUGCCUAGGCAUAAGUCUCUGCGGCUUUGCGGAGAAGAACUCUGUGGAGGUUAGUCAGUGGUGGACUCUCGCCUCAUUUCUCUGUGGGAUUCCCGUGAUAGUCCCAUGAGGCUAGGAGAGGGAGGAGGUGAGCCAGCCUGAAGAAAAGUCAAGCACAGCCCCAGGAAUAAGCCGCAAAACUCCUACAGAUCCAAAAGGACCUGGAGGAUGCCUAAGGCCUCCCGGACUUUGUCAGGCCUAGAGUUUCCUUGGUCUGGCUCAAUGUCUUCCAAACUCAACCAUUCCCAGUUCAUGGAAAAUGACCCUCAUGGGAUUCCCUUGUAAAAGCUGCAUGAUUGCUGGAGGAUGGUUUAUUGUCCUACAGCCAACCCAAAAACGGCACUACCAGUCAUGUUGCAGGGCCCCUUGAAUUAACCUCGAAUUAGGUUUCCAGAUGAGCAGGUGCUUCAUGUUGUGAAGGGGCCCUCCUCCAUCAUCCUAGAAUUUCAUUCUGGGACACAGAGUGUGAGCAGCAAUAAGAGUUGCACUCCGUUGCCUGGGCUGGAGUGCAGCGUCAUGAUCUCCAGUCACUGCAAGCUCUGCCUCCCGGGUUCAUGCCAUUCUCCUGCCUCAGCCUCCUGAGUAGCUGGGACUACAGGCUGGGUCCACUUUGCCCCUCAACAGCAUUACUGGACACCUUUGUCAGACUAGCAAUUUCCACAGACACCCUCUGUGAACAUUUUUCAACAUCAUCUGCAGCAGUGAGAGGCCAGUUUGAUGUGUAAGAAUACUGCUUGACUUUGGACUUGCCUUUGUCAUGGUUCCUGCCUUUCUCAUAGAUCUCCUGCCAGGACAAGGAUGAUAGGAGGCAAGGAAGUCAAGGGCCCAGCCCCAUUCACUGAAAGCUGCCUCUGGGAUCUCAGGUAUGAUUCCAUCACAUAAAAUCCCCUCAACAACUCACCAGACUAUAUUCCAAUCUCCGUGGGACCUGAUUCUUGCACACAGCCUCUUUCACGAAUGGAGCCAGAAGAGCAGUUUUCAGUGACCAUCUCAGUUUGGAAAAGCCUCCUCCUUCAGUGGGUCUCAGCCACAGAGUCAUCCCGAAGGGGCUCUAAGGUCAAUAAUUUUAGGGUCUGACAGUUGAUUAUCACAGACAGACUUUUUCAUGAUAGCAGAUCAUCUCUGUCUAUAUCAUUUUCCUCUGCUUAGGCAGGCUGACAGCUCUGACAGCCAGGCACUUGAAUCUACCUGGCAAAUGUUCAUGCUCUAGUCUCAGUGCAAAAGGCCUGUUUGGGAGUUCUGGCUAGUGUCACAAUAAAUGCCGCCAUUGCCUAGU